GUACUGAUCUUUUAUCAAGAAUCCAUCCUUGGGUCUUCAAAAGCUUGGGGGGCUUGGAGUGAGGGAUCCCUCACCCUCCUCCAAUAUUCCAACAGUCUGCCAGUGCUUAACCAUGACCAUGUCUUACAGAGCUAAAGGAGCCAUCUUUUCUGAAGCAAGCAGAGUUGUCCUGGGCAAUGCCUGGUAGACAAGGCAAGUCACAAAAAGGCAGCAGGCUCUAUUUAUGAGCCUU
rnacentral:sRNA from 1 species